AGAGUUUGAUCCUGGCUCAGGACGAAUGCUGGCGGCGCGCCUAACACAUGCAAGUCGAACGAGCGAGAGAGAGCUUGCUUUCUCGAGCGAGUGGCGAACGGGUGAGUAACGCGUGAGGAACCUGCCUCAAAGAGGGGGACAACAGUUGGAAACGACUGCUAAUACCGCAUAAGCCCACGGGUCGGCAUCGACCAGAGGGAAAAGGAGCAAUCCGCUUUGAGAUGGCCUCGCGUCCGAUUAGCUAGUUGGUGAGGUAACGGCCCACCAAGGCGACGAUCGGUAGCCGGACUGAGAGGUUGAACGGCCACAUUGGGACUGAGACACGGCCCAGACUCCUACGGGAGGCAGCAGUGGGGAAUAUUGCACAAUGGGGGAAACCCUGAUGCAGCGACGCCGCGUGGAGGAAGAAGGUCUUCGGAUUGUAAACUCCUGUUGUUGAGGAAGAUAAUGACGGUACUCAACAAGGAAGUGACGGCUAACUACGUGCCAGCAGCCGCGGUAAAACGUAGGUCACAAGCGUUGUCCGGAAUUACUGGGUGUAAAGGGAGCGCAGGCGGGAAGACAAGUUGGAAGUGAAAUCUAUGGGCUCAACCCAUAAACUGCUUUCAAAACUGUUUUUCUUGAGUAGUGCAGAGGUAGGCGGAAUUCCCGGUGUAGCGGUGGAAUGCGUAGUUAUCGGGAGGAACACCAGUGGCGAAGGCGGCCUACUGGGCACCAACUGACGCUGAGGCUCGAAAGUGUGGGUAGCAAACAGGAUUAGAUACCCUGGUAGUCCACACCGUAAACGAUGAUUACUAGGUGUUGGAGGAUUGACCCCUUCAGUGCCGCAGUUAACACAAUAAGUAAUCCACCUGGGGAGUACGACCGCAAGGUUGAAACUCAAAGGAAUUGACGGGGGCCCGCACAAGCAGUGGAGUAUGUGGUUUAAUUCGACGCAACGCGAAGAACCUUACCAAGUCUUGACAUCCUGCGACGCACAUAGAAAUAUGUGUUUCCUUCGGGACGCAGAGACAGGUGGUGCAUGGUUGUCGUCAGCUCGUGUCGUGAGAUGUUGGGUUAAGUCCCGCAACGAGCGCAACCCUUACUGUCAGUUACUACGCAAGAGGACUCUGGCAGGACUGCCGUUGACAAAACGGAGGAAGGUGGGGAUGACGUCAAAUCAUCAUGCCCUUUAUGACUUGGGCUACACACGUACUACAAUGGCGUUAAACAAAGAGAAGCAAGACCGCGAGGUGGAGCAAAACUCAGAAACAACGUCCCAGUUCGGACUGCAGGCUGCAACUCGCCUGCACGAAGUCGGAAUUGCUAGUAAUCGUGGAUCAGCAUGCCACGGUGAAUACGUUCCCGGGCCUUGCACACACCGCCCGUCA
rnacentral:rRNA from 1 species